rfam:Oikopleura dioica, whole genome shotgun assembly, reference scaffold set, scaffold scaffold_16
AAACAGGCCCUUUUUAGGGCCACAAAUUUCAACCUUCCUUUCUUAG